rnacentral:piRNA from 1 species
GGACAACUUACGUGUGUCUGUUCUCGCCUA